CAGAAGGUCAGACGGUGGCGUUCUGAGAGUUCUCAUUUCAGACAGCGAGGGUGCUCUCAGCGAAUGCCUGACGGACGGGGAGACUUGGUUUGGCAACUGUGCGUGUCGUCUUCCGUUCGACAGUAGAGCUCAGAUGGGUUGAGAUAGCCCCCAAGUGGACUGAGUGGGGCGAAAGACAAGCCACCAAAUCUGCAAACAGGACUAUGGAACUGUGAGAAAAUAGUGUAGAAUUAAGGUGCCAUUUGGAGUAUGAGGAAGUUUCUGAUGAAGAACUCCCAUGGAAAAGUGAUAUUUGAGGUCAACAGUUACCACCAAUACAAGGUACCCAACUGCACAGAGAUGGAGCCUAGAGCAGCAGGAGGUGGUACAUAAAAACACAGAAGUUUGAUUUGGUUCAGUUUCUUGGAGCUUCUUGCCUGGGGAGCAUCGUCCACGCACACCAGUACCUAUGAAGAUAAUUAGCCAGCAUUCCUUUUCCUGAAGCCGUAGUCUAGGGCUCUGCCUUCAUCACAUAGGCUGCGCUGUGUCCCUGUUCAGGCUCAAGUCAUCUUCUACUUACGAGUGCCCAGCUGAUUGACUUACUGUUUCUUCCUCACACCUCGCUGUGUAUUCUCUGUGCCGCGCGGCUUGUGGGACCUUAGUUCCCCGACCAGGGAUCGAACCCGGGCCCGUGGCAGUGAAAGCACUGAGUCCUAACCACUGGACCACCGGGGAAUUCCCUGGAUCCGUUGCUUUUAAUUUGAAAUUACUUUAUCUGGAAAGAUGCCUGGAGGUUAAAAGAAAUCACGUUGACUAUAUUUUAAAAUGUAAUACUGUUUAAAAAUACAUUUGCCCUAUAUUUCCAAACUUUGCGACACCCUGAGUUAGUUGUAUAAGUAAACAACUGUAUGAUCAAUAAAUAUUUAUUUAUAUGAUGACGCGUAUAAUACAACCACAAAAAAGUGGAGGUUGAUAACCUCUUCAUAAAUCAUUUUUAACUCUAUUUUCCCUCAUUCCAUUUCUACCUGCGCAUAUGCUAUUCAUGCUUAUCCUUUCAAUUUCCUAUCUUCCAAAGAAUUCCUGGAAAACGCAGUUCUCUCCUAUUCCAGGAAGUGGGCAAAGCUCUGACUUGUCCUAUGUUUUAAUACAGUUUCCAUGUGGUAUCAAGUUCAUGAAUGACACUAUGUAAGUAUGCUUUCUUAUAGAUGCAUAUUUUCUAGCCUAACUUUGCUAAAGACUACUUUUUGAGACUUGCCUGUGGUUAAGGCACCCUAAAAUACAGACAAGUUGGCUUUUUAUGGAUAUCAGAAUCAUGGCAGCCUUUGGAACACACUCUCCGUUGUUUAAAAUCUACAUAUAAUGUUCAGUAUGUGUAAGUUUCUUACCAGGUGCUGUAGAAUAUGCAUACAAGAAGUCUGCCUCAACCGGUAUUUUCUGACAGGCCAUAUCAUCCUCAACACCACUGUCUGUCUCAAUACCACAGUCCAGUUCUGUGCCUCGGCAAGCCUAGAGGUUAGAAAAUAAACAUUUAUUUAAAAAGUUAAAAAAAAAAAGAAGAAAAAGAAACUAAACAUUUAUUUUAAAAAAUAUGUGUGUACAUGCAUCACUGUUAUUUCUAAGAAAUGCAAAGGCUCUGUAAAAAUUGAUGUUAAUUAUGCAGAAUCCUUUUGCUAGAAGUCUAAAAUUAAAACUUAUUCUCUAUCUCCUAAGUGGUAGUUUAAAUAAACAAAAAACUAACAAUAGUUCAGUAGCUUCAGGGAAAAAAAUAAAUUUUUUUGAUAAUCCACAGUUGAGUAAAUUAAUCCCUAAUGAAUCCUCAAUAACCAAGAUGCUCAGUUAUAUAUUACCUGAAUAAUGAAAAGUUUAGGUUUUCCAGUUAGACUUAUACAACAAUCCCCUCUGAAGAAGCCUGCUAAUUUUUUCAGAUCGACAGGUCCAUUUGUUCCAAAAAUUUUUCCUUCCUCGCCAUGGCUUAGAAGCACACAAAUAAAACUGCUCCUUUUGCUAUGAUCUUCUUUAGAAACUGGGAAAACGUUUACAAACAAGAAAAACAAACAGAAAACCAAUGCAAUUUUAUGCAACCAUCUCAUAUGCACUGUAUGGGAAUAAAAUGAAGAAAUCUGAGAACAGAACUAAGAGAUCGUGUAAACCCAACUUGGGGCAGAGCAACACACCUCAAACCACUCUAGGGAGCUGGUAUGAAUAACUUGUUUUACUUACAUAAAAUAUAUAGGGUAGGAUUGUGUACAGUUUAGUUCCACAAUUCUCAUGCUUUACUUUUAUAUGUGUAUAAUUACAGCUAGACUGUAACAUAAACUGGACAACGAAGGUCAUCCUGUUCAUUAUUUCUUACCACUGUACAUUAAUUCCAAAAUUUCUUCACAUGUAAGAUCAUUUUUAUUCCUAACUUCAUAUUUCAAGUUCGUGAAGGUUUCCCAGAGGUUGGCUGCAUCGACGUCUGUACCAGACCGACAUGCCAUCCCUUGAACAGAAAAAGUUACUUUUAGUUGCAUUAAAAAAAAAACAUUUGACUUAACCUGGUGGCGCAGUGGUUAAGAAUCUGCCUGCCAAUGCAGGGGAUACGGGUUCGAGCCCUGGUCCGGGAAGAUUCCCACAUGCCACGGAGCAACUAAGCCCGUGCACCACAACUACUGAGCCUGCGCUCUAGAGCCCGUGAGCCACAACUACUGAGCCCACAUGCUGCAACUACUGAAGCCCGUGCGCCUCAAGCCCGUGCUCCGCAACAAAAGAAGCCACCGCCACGAGAAGCCCGCGCACCACAACUAGAGUAAGCUCGUGUGCAGCAACGAAGACCCAACGCAGCCAAAAAUAAAAAAUAUAAAAAAAAAAAAAAAAAAAAAAAAACUGCUUUGAAAUGAACUAUUCAGUGAUUCACACAAUCCACAGUAAACUCUUCCUUGCAAAUGCUAAGAAAAUUCAAUACUCUGAUCGUGGUGACACAAAGUCUCUUUCAUUUCUUAGCAUAUAAGACACUUCAUAACAUAAACUGUUAUAGUGCUACAGUCACAAAGACGUCUUUCACUGCUGCUUAGAUAGUGAAAAACAAACUUAAAUGCCUAACAAGAGAGGUUUGGUUAAAUAAAUUAAAAGUCAUUUAUAUAAUGGGAUACUAUAUUGCCACUGAAAUUUUGUAGACAAAAUUUUGGUAUGGGAAAAUGGUCACUUAAAAAAAAAAGAAUAGGAUCCUACUUUAAAGAAAAAAUUAGAAGUGUAUAUAUAUAUACACACCCACACCCACACCCACAUACAUAUUGUACAUACACAAACACACACAUACCACCACACACACAUAUGUAUCAAUACACACCUCACAAACUCAGAGGAACUAUUUCUUUGAUUUCAAGUUCCCAACAAUUCUAAGAUACAUUAGUACUUUCAUAACACCUUUUCAGGAAAAACCCCAUAAACCACUAGGCACUUUAGCACUGUUCAUCAGGCAUUCUGCUCUGUGUGGUCUCCAUUAAGCCUUCUAACCACCAUGAGACCGUUAUCAUGACUGGCUUCAUUUGCACAGAUGUGGGAGCACAGAGGAGUCCAGGAACUUGGACAAAGUACUGAAGCUGGUGUGCGGACUGUACCCAGGAGUCCUGGGCUUUCCUCAUGCCUUUACAGCGCCUUCCACAUACACGUGCGGAUUGACUGAACAGUGAAUUCAGAUUUAAAAAUCCUAAAGUGCUGCCGGGGGAGGGCACACAUUGAGUAAACUUAACACAUAUGCACAGAAAAAAGACUAGAUGUUUCCAGCUCCAAAUUAUUGUUGUUUAUCUGAGUAGUGUCAUUAGGAGUGAUUUCAAUUUUUCUUUUGCUACUCUGUAAUUUCUGAAAUGUAUAUUAUGGCCAUAUAUUAUUUUUAUAAAAUUAAAGUAAGCUCAUCAAGGUUUUGACAUUGGAAAGGCUGAGGACGCCAUGCAGAUGUGUGACAAGGUGACUGAAUUCUGGUCCUGGUUUGUGAGCCACUUAGUAGUUGAACAGAAAAUACCAGGCUGUCAGAGACAGUUGUGAGAAACUGACCUUCAAAUUUCAAAGCAGAAAAGGGGCUCACUCUAAGGCUAAAGCCAGACUACAGGCAUAAGUAUUUUUGGGGGGAGAGUAGAACAAUUUCCGCCCCCCCCUUUAAAGAUAAGUAAGUACUCGGGAUGUACUAGAGAGACAACGUAAAACGUGAUAAACAUAAUUAACACUGUUGUAUGUUAUAUAUGAAAGUUGUUAAGAGAGGAAAUCCUAAGAGUUCUCAUCACAAGGAAAAAAGCAUUUUUCUAGCUCUUUAAUGUUGUAUCUGUUGGAGUUGAUGGACGUUCACUAAACUUAUUGUGAUAAUCAUUUCAUGAUCUAUGGAAGUCGAAUCAUUAUGCUGUACACCUUAAACUUAUA